rnacentral:rRNA from 1 species
CGGCAACAGCUCAAAUUUGAAAUCUGGCGUCUUUGGCGUCCGAGUUGUAAUUUGUAGAGGAUGCUUCUGGGUGGCCGCCGGUCUAAGUUCCUUGGAACAGGACGUCAUAGAGGGUGAGAAUCCCGUAUGUGACCGGAAAGGCGCCCUACACGUAGCUCCUUCGAC